rnacentral:rRNA from 1 species
GACGAACGCUGGCGGCGUGCUUAACACAUGCAAGUCGAACGGAAAGGCCCUGCUUUUGUGGGGUGCUCGAGUGGCGAACGGGUGAGUAACACGUGAGUAACCUGCCCUUGACUUUGGGAUAACUUCAGGAAACUGGGGCUAAUACCGGAUAGGAGCUCCUGCUGCAUGGUGGGGGUUGGAAAGUUUCGGCGGUUGGGGAUGGACUCGCGGCUUAUCAGCUCGUUGGUGGGGUAGUGGCUUACCAAGGCUUUGACGGGUAGCCGGCCUGAGAGGGUGACCGGCCACAUUGGGACUGAGAUACGGCCCAGACUCCUACGGGAGGCAGCAGUGGGGAAUAUUGCACAAUGGGCGGAAGCCUGAUGCAGCAACGCCGCGUGCGGGAUGACGGCCUUCGGGUUGUAAACCGCUUUCGCUUGUGACGAAGCGUGAGUGACGGUAAUGGGUAAAGAAGCACCGGCUAACUACGUG